rnacentral:tRNA from 1 species
GCCUGGGUGGCUCAGUGGUUGAGCGUCUGCCUUCGGCUCAGGGCAUGAUCCCAGGGUCCUGGGAUCGAGUCCCACAUCAGGCU